GGGUUCGUCGGUUGGUCGGGCUUUAUUGUCCGCACUGGCCUGAUGGAAUCCUACCUUCUGAAUAACCAGCAUGCUAUUAAUUUAGUGCGUUGGGGAAGCAGAGCUAUUACCUUGAAAAAAUUAGAGUGCUUAAAGCAGGCUUAUGCUUGAAUAGAUUAGCAUGGAAUAAUAAAAUAGGACGGCUUGGUUCUAUUUUGUUGGUUUCUAGGAUCACCGUA
rnacentral:rRNA from 1 species